CCUACGGGAGGCAGCAGUGAGGAAUAUUGGGCAAUGGGCGCGAGCCUGAACCAGCCAAGUCGCGUGAAGGAUGAAGGCUCUAUGGUUUGUAAACUUCUUUUAUAGGGGCAUAAAGUGAGGCACGUGUUCCUUUUUGUAUGUACCAUAUGAAUAAGCAUCGGCUAACUCCGUGCCAGCAGCCGCGGUAAUACGGAGGAUGCGAGCGUUAUCCGGAUUUAUUGGGUGUAAAGGGAGCGUAGGUGGGAAAUUAAGUCAGCUGUGAAAGUUUGUGGCUCAACCAUAAAAUUGCCUUUGAAACUGGUUGACUUGAGUACAGUUGAGGUAGGCGGAAUUCGUGGUGUAGCGGUGAAAUGCGUAGAUAUCACGAAGAACUCCGAUGGCGAAGGCAGCUUACUAAACUGCAACUGACACUGAGGCGCGAAAGCGUGGGGAUCAAACAGGAUUAGAUACCCUAGUAGUC
rnacentral:rRNA from 1 species